rnacentral:pre_miRNA from 1 species
GCCCUCACAAAGGCACUGACUUGGAUGCUGCAUGUGGUAAGUGCUAUUUGUUGGGGUAG